UACGAAGGGGGCUAGCGUUGUUCGGAAUUACUGGGCGUAAAGCGCACGUAGGCGGCUUUGUAAGUUAGAGGUGAAAGCCCGGAGCUCAACUCCGGAACUGCCUUUAAGACUGCAUCGCUUGAAUCAUGGAGAGGUCAGUGGAAUUCCGAGUGUAGAGGUGAAAUUCGUAGAUAUUCGGAAGAACACCAGUGGCGAAGGCGACUGACUGGACAUGUAUUGACGCUGAGGUGCGAAAGCGUGGGGAGCAAACAGG
rnacentral:rRNA from 1 species